rnacentral:rRNA from 1 species
GACGAACGCUGGCGGCGUGCUUAACACAUGCAAGUCGAACGGAAAGGCCCUGCUUUCGGGGUGCUCGCGUGGCGAACGGGUGAGUAACACACGCGUGGACUACCCCUUACUUUGGGUUAAGCCUGUUAGACUGGGUCUAAUACUGGAUAGAAAAUUGCUUUAGGCGGUGUGGUGGAUAGAUUAGUUCCGGUAGGGGAUGAGCUCGGGGCCGAUCAGCUUCUUGUUGGGGUACUGGCCUACCAAGGCGUCGCCGGGUCGCCGGCCAGAAAGGGUGGUCGGCCACAUUGGGACUGCGAGGCGGCGCAGAAGUCGGCGAGAGGCAGCAGUGGGGAAUAUUGCACAGGGGGCGCACGGCUGGUGCAGCGACGCCGCGUGGGUGGUGAAGGUCUGCGGGUUGUGAACUCCAUUCAGGCAUGUCGAAGCGCUUGUGGUGACGGUAGUGGUUCAAGAAGCACCGGCUAACUACGUG